rnacentral:rRNA from 1 species
UACGGGGGGGGCAAGCGUUGUUCGGAAUUACUGGGCGUAAAGGGCUCGUAGGUGGCCAACUAAGUCAGACGUGAAAUCCCUCGGCUUAACCCGGAAACUGCCAUUGAUACUAUUUGUCUUGAAUACUUUGGAGGUAAGCGGAAUAUGUCAUGUAGCGGUGAAAUGCUUAGAUAUGACAUAGAACACCGAUUGCGAAGGCAGCUUACUACACAGUAAUUGACACUGAGGCACGAAAGCGUGGGGAUCAAACAGG